AUUGAACGCUGGCGGCAUGCCUUACACAUGCAAGUCGAACGGUAACAGGUCUUCGGAUGCUGACGAGUGGCGAACGGGUGAGUAAUACAUCGGAACGUGCCCGAUCGUGGGGGAUAACGAAGCGAAAGCUUUGCUAAUACCGCAUAAGAUCUACGGAUGAAAGCAGGGGACCGCAAGGCCUUGCGCGAACGGAGCGGCCGAUGGCAGAUUAGGUAGUUGGUGGGAUAAAAGCUUACCAAGCCGACGAUCUGUAGCUGGUCUGAGAGGACGACCAGCCACACUGGGACUGAGACACGGCCCAGACUCCUACGGGAGGCAGCAGUGGGGAAUUUUGGACAAUGGGCGAAAGCCUGAUCCAGCCAUGCCGCGUGCAGGAUGAAGGCCUUCGGGUUGUAAACCGCUUUUGUACGGAACGAAAAGACUCUUUCUAAUAAAGAGGGUCCAUGACGGUACCGUAAGGAUAAGCGCCGGCUAACUACGUGCCAGCAGCCGCAGUAA
rnacentral:rRNA from 1 species